rnacentral:lncRNA from 1 species
ACUAAUAAAAUUGGUACUAUCUGGACUACUUCAAUUUUUACAGAAACUUUUUUUUACAGUAAUUCAUUUAAUAAAAAAAAUUGGCAGAAGCAUUGCCAGUGAUAUAAGAUUCUAUAAAUUAUGGUAUAAUCUCUAUAAAGAUGCGCUAUACAGAAAAUCACCACUAGAUGCAUUCAAGAUGGUUAAAUCUAAUUAAUAUUGGAAAGGGAAAAACAUCGGAUGAUUUUCCCUCAACAUUUACAAACAUAUAGGUAGAUACACACAUAGAUAUAUUGAUAUAUAUAUAUAUAUAUAUAUCUCUCUCUCAAAAGAAUACUUCUCAAUUUUAACUAUCACCCAGUAAAAUAUCAAGAUGCAUGCCAUUUUUGAAACAAAUGGAUGUUCUUCUUGUGAAAUUUUAUUUAAAAAUUUGUAUUUGAUUUAGUAAUGAGAGUAUAAAAAUUUAAUUUUAAAAACUGAAAGUCUAACUUCUGAAGUUAAAAAUUUUCAAUUUUUAUUGUUGAACUUUCAUUCUCUUGUAGUUGACUCAAAAUAUAAAUUUUUAAAAUAAAUUUCACUUAAGAUAAUUCAUAUAUUUCAAUCAUACCUCAUAAUUAUUUGCUUCUUUACCGAGCUAAUUAGCAUCGCCAAGAAGCGUGAAUUCCUCUAAGCUCCUGAAAUUCUCCCAAAGCCUCACCCAGACCUUGGCCUGGUACACCUUCGUCGUGUGCCCGUCCGAAGCCUCCAAAGUAAUGUAGUACCUCAUGCCUCCAACAACUUGCUGCUUUACAUUCACAAUCUUCUUGAACUGGAGCAACGCAUUCUGCAACAUGCCCAUCUCGAAAUUUAUUAUUACAAGUCGAGACAUAAAAUGUUCAGAGCUGAUAAAAAUCGAAUAUUCAGUUGCCCAAUUAGAUAUAAAGACAGUGUAGCGUAUAAUAUUGUUAAUAAAGUAAUCUAAGGUUAAUCCUUUCUACAGUUUGGAUUCUUGAAUUGUGUAAUCAAGUGAAAAAUUUCUAGACUAGGGAGGCAAUAUAUGUCCCUGAUAGGCAAUGACUAUCAGGAGCUCCCCAGUUCUCUGUUUCCUCAACUUCAACAGGAUGAACACUUUAUUCAACUAAAUGAUAGUGAAAAUUCCAGUUUGUAUUGAAUUUCACAUGAAACUCUAUCCAAUAAAUGUUUUUCUUAUCAUUCUAAUAUAAUUUGGAUCAUAAACAGAUAUGAACUUGCAGAUAAAUUUUAUGACAUUUAUAAAUUUAGUUCAAACAUAGCUAUAGUAAACUUGAACUCACAAAAAAUAAGCCAGUAACAUACAUCCUUACAAUUAAGGAUUAUGAUUGUUAUGACUGUCUAACCUAUAGGCAGUAUUAGUAGAAAUUCAACAGAAUAACUAAAUCAAUAUCACCAAAAUUUUUGUACAACAAAAAAAAAGUCUCUAGAGCAUCUUUUCUUUUCUAUCUAUGCGGAAUUCGCGAUGGAAUGUCACAAAUCUAUUUAUAGGUUAGAGACCUUCGGUAUCUUCUAUCAUGAUUUCUUCAUCUACUGAACAUAGAGUCGGUAGCCUAUUAUAAGCAUAAGAUUACCUCUGUGGAAAAAGAUUUAGACAAAAUAAUUGCUCAUGUGCACAGGACGAUGAUGACUUCAAUACUGUCAAAUUACAAUAUAAUUGAGAAAUCACCGAUGAGUUACCUGCAACUAUUUCCUUCUUAGGUUGUUCAUGGAUUAAUUUUUGAUUAAUUUCCUUUUUCUCGUACAAACUACUUAGAAGGAAACGACUCAUAUAUAAAGCAUCAAAUCUUACAAUAUCAAGGUUAACAACUCGAACUAAUUGCAGAAGAAAGAAACAACAGAAACUGCUGAAAAAUUUUGGAGAAACAAGUACAUACAUACAUUUAUAUAAGCUAUCAGCUGAAGAUUUUAAUUAAGCUAACAGAACUCCUGUUUGCCGAUAUAUAAAAUUGUAUGUUUAUAGUUAUUAUCUCGUCGAACUGCAUGAUUAGAUGCUUGAAUUUCAACAUUAUCUUAAUUCGCUAGUAGAAAUUUUCUAGGGAAACAAACAGAAAGCAGGAAGAAAGAAUUGAAGAAAGCAGAGUCACUACCUCUUUCCUGUUGUGCUCAUCGACGGCGAACCGAGCAAGGUUCUGGAACUCAAGACUGUUAGCAUUUCCCUCGACGUCCGUAAUACCACCGCUAAUAGAUCCCUUCAUUUUCUUUUGUUUUUCUGUGUUUCUCUCUCCGAAUCUGAUUUUCUUCUCGUUUGCUGCUCUGAUUUUGGUGACCUCCGUAACCGCUAGCAUUCCCGUAUUUAAAGGAUGAGUAGGCCUAAACCAGAGAGCUGAAAAUACCAAAAAGUACAUGUCUAACAUGAAAAAAAGUUUUUCACACUUAAAUUCUUUUCCUUAUUUAAAACUUCUUUUUCUAAUCAUAAAAUCACGUUUAGAUGUGUUUUUGUAACAGAAAAAAAGGUUACCGAACUUACUAGUUGAGAUUCUGUAACGAAUUUUUCUUGAAUUUGUGUCGAUUUUUGGGGAGGAGAAUAGGAGAACGGAGAAAUGGCUGUUCUGAAACGCAGUGAUAACUGGAGGAGGAGAAAACAGUCUGAAAAGAGUGGCCAUCACCACAGAGAGACAGAGAGAGAUGUAAAAGGAAGAGGCAGGAGGUGGAAAGAGAGAGAAACAGGGAAAGAGAAGACAGAAAAAGAUGCCUUUUGGCGCAACUUUAAAAAUGGAGGUAUUUCUGGUCAAGUGAAAAUUAUAAUUUAGAGGGAAUAUACGCUUGAAGAGUAACUUAAAAGAUUAUUAAUUUAUUAAUUGCAAUUUAAAUAAAAUUUAUCUUUUAAUUAAAUAUAAUUUAUAUUUAUUUUUUAAAUAUAUAAUAUAUAAAAAAUUAGUGACAAUUUAUUUUUUAAAAAAUUUAAUUUAUGUUUAUUUUUUUAAAUAGUGAUAUUAAUUUAAAUAUAAAUCUAUUUGAAUGCAUAUUAAAUUAUUAAUUUUUGAAAUUAAUGAAACUAAUAAAAAUUUAAGUCUAUUUUAUUUAGAAAAACUCAAAUAAUAUAAAAUAAAUUCUAUUUAUUGUAUUUUGCACCAUAUCCAACAAUUUAUUAAAGAAAAAUCUAAGUGUUCAUAAUUUUUUCUUAUGAAUAUUGUAUAAGAGGCCUGCGAAAUCAUUAGAGUUUGAGAAAAACACUUGUAAAAUAAAAUUUGUGUAGGAUUUGUUGAAGAAUCAUAAAUUUAAGUGAUGAUUUGGAGAAAAGAUCGUAAGCACAAAAUCGACAACAAACUUUUAUAAAAUUGAGUAUAUAAUCCCUAUACUUACGUGUUUUUCUGGUUGGGUUUAUUACUUUAUAAAUAUUAAUUAUUUAAAAUUAAUUUAAAUUAAUUUAAAGUUUUAAAAACCCAAUUUACCAAAUUAUUUAAUAAAUUUCAACCACCGAUAACAUUUAUAUUAAGAUUGGAAUUAAAAAAGAAUUGAAAAUAGUUGUAUGAUGAAGUGGAGGCACGCGGGUCGUCCGAUCACACAUGUUUAGAAAAUUCAUCUGCAUCGUUCGAUCCGGAGAACGUGGAGGUACGUGGGUCAUUUGAUUGAACUCAUUUAAGAAAUCAAUUUAGGUCAUUUGUGCGCAAAAGUGGUCAUGAGCCGUCUGAUUGAUCUAACAUGCAAAUUUGCGACGUGGGCUUCCCGCGCAGAACCCAUGUUGAUGUGGCAUAUCACGAUUCGCUAUAUUGCUGACAUGACUGUCCUACAUAGUCCGUUUCUUUUAAUUUAUAAAGUAACUUCAUUUAUAAAGGAGAAAUAUUUUAUUCAUAAAUGGGAUAUAAAUGUAGAACAUAAAUGUAUUAGAAUAAAUUUUAUGGAAAUAAGAAUGAUAGAUGAGAGCAGAGAGAUUGAGCGAAAAGAAGAUGAACAGCACGAUUCGAGGAGGAUUAGGAGGAGGAAUCCUCGUUGGAAAUCCUCGGGGUCGAGAAGGAAGGACAACUGCUGUAGACGAACAUUCAUUCAGUAACAAGAGGUAAGAUCGAUUUGCUCUUACAACACGAAUUCGAAAUAGGUGCGAAUAAAUUCCUUAAAUCGCCAAAUGAUAAACUGCUUAUGAUUUCUGGUGUAUAUAAUAUGUGCAUCGAUGAUUGAUGGUGUUAAAAUUGAUAAAAAAAUGUUAGUAAAAUUUUGAUCGUUUUAACCCGAAAGAAAACUAGUAUGCUGAAAUUUUAAGUGUAUCAUCUGCCGUAAAUUUUAGUAGUCUCUGGAAUAGUAUGGGAGUACAUGGUGUUGAAUGAAGAGAUCUGAAGGGUUAACACAAAUUCAUAGGAAACGGCAUCGUACUAGGAAGAGUGUAGGAAUUCAUCUUGCCUCCUAUUGAUUUAAAUUAUGAACUGCCUGAACUGAAUUCUAUUUGGCCGGGUGAAAGGGGUAGGAUGAUACUGCAGAAUGGUAAAACAUAAAGUAAAUGCCAGCGAGUUACCAUUUGUAUUUAAGAUUAUUGAAUCUAUACUUACAAGAGAUUCGAAAACAAUCACGACGAAUUGUGAAGUAUCAUUUGCAGAGCAGAUGAUGGCAUGGAAUUACAAGAAGUGGAAUUUAGAAUACAAGGAUAAUCCAUGAUUUCUCAUGCUUUCAUGUUUUAGUUUAACAGCAGCUAGAUAAUUUACAUGAUUUCUUUCAAGACCUUUCAGCUGUAUGCAUACUGUAUUUCAACUUACAAAUCAAAUUAUGUAUAUAAUUAUACAUAUCUAUUUUUGAAUGUGUGUAUAUACAUAUAUAUAUAUAUAUAUAUAUUUCUAAAAUCACCCUUGCAUAGAUUUGAUAAUUAUACAUAUAUUGUAUAUAUAGAUUAGAUAAGGGUAGGGGAGGAGUCUUUCAUCCUAUUGCCUGAAGAAGGUUAUAAAUUAGAUAACUGAAAUACUAACCCAAAGUUUUUGUUAGAUGAAAUUUAUUUCCAUUCGGAAUAUCAUACAUUAUCGGGUCAUCGGCCCACUCGUUAUUUCCUCUUUAUUACGAGUAAAUUUUUAAAUUUUAUGUAAAUUUAUUACAAGUGACUAAACUAUUUAUUAAAAAAAAAAGAUCUUAAAUUGAUAGAGACAUAUACAAACACGUAAUAACAAACUUUCAGUGAUAAAAUUACUACUAUUGGGACUCAAUUCUUAUUGAGACGUUUUUUUUUCUCUCUAGAGUAAUUCAUUUAAUAAGAAAAUGGCAGAAACAGUAGCAACAUUGAAGUGUGAAUAACAUUCUAUAAACCAUGAUAUGAUACUCGAAUAAAUGUAUCACAUUUACAAACAUAUUACACACAUAGAUAUGCUGAUAUAUAUCUAUCGAAAGAAAGCUCUCAAUUUAAAUAUCACACAGUAGAAUAUCGAAAUGGAUUUUUUUCGUAAAAUUUUAUUUCAAAAUUUGUAUUUGAUUUAGUUAUUGAGAGAAUAAAGAUUAAAACUGAAAAUCUAACUCCAAAAUUUUUUGAAAGUAAUACAAUUAAAAUUCUUUUGGAGUUAAAAAUUUUCAAUUUUUAUUAUUGAAUUUUUAUUCUCUCACAUCUAAAUCAAAAUACAAAUUUUAAAAAUAAGUUUCACUCGAAAUAAUCCAUUUAUUUCCAUCAUAACCCACAAUUAUUUACUUCAUUACUGAGCUAAUUAGCAUCACCAAGAAGCGUGA